rnacentral:rRNA from 1 species
CAAAAACAUUGCCCCCUGUAUAUAAUAUAAGGGGUACCUCCUGCCCAGUGAAAUUUCAACGGCCGCGGUAUCCUAACCGUGCAAAGGUAGCAUAAUCACUUGCCCAUUAAUUGUGGGCUAGAAUGAAAGGAUAAACAAAAUAAAUACUGUCUCUAUUUAUAUAUAUAAAAAUUAAUUUCUAGAUGAAGAAGUCUAGAUAAAGUUGACGGACAAGAAGACCCUAUAGAGCUUUAUUUAUAGUAAGAACCAAUUUCUUAUAUAUAAUUUGGUUGGGGCGAUCAAGGAAUCUACUUAUCAUCCUAAAAACUAAGACUAAUAAGUCAUUAUGCUGAUCCUAAAAUUAGAUCAAAAGAUCAAGCUACCUUAGGGAUAACAGGCUAAUUCUAUUUAAGAGUUCUUAUCUAAAAUAGAGUUUGGCACCUCGAUGUUGGCUUAGGGAAUCUUAAUAGCGCAAUAG